rnacentral:lncRNA from 1 species
ACACUCUUUGACCAUGCAAUUAUAUAUUUAUUAACAACUCGUAGUUGUUGUUAGUUGUAGAAAAAAAGAGGGAGGAGAUGUAAAACUGCAGUGAAAAUAAGGGUGGCCUUGUAGUUUUGUGGGAGGAAAGAUUAGUAACAGCGCCGACAUCAGAGUGCAGAACGUAAUCAGUGACUCAUAAAAUAAGGAGUUUUCUCACCCUCUCAGAAGCAGGCACACAGCACAGGGAAACUGAGUCGUACAGCUCAGAGUCACAGGCGUAGUAUGGGAGUGGCAUCAGGUUCAGUAGAGGAAGCAGGCACACAGCACAGGGAAACUGAGUCGUACAGCUCAGAGGCACAGGCGUAGUAUGGGAGCGGCAUCAGGUUCAGUAGAGGAAGCAGGCACACAGCACAGGGAAACUGAGUCGUACAGCUCAGAGGCACAGGCGUAGUAUGGGAGCGGCAUCAGGUUCAGUAGAGGAAGCAGGCACACAGCACAGGGAAACUGAGUCGUACAGCUCAGAGGCACAGGCGUAGUAUGGGAGCGGCAUCAGGUUCAGUAGAGGAAGCAGGCACACAGCACAGGGAAACUGAGUCGUACAGCUCAGAGUCACAGGCAUAGUAUGGGAGCGGCAUCAGGUUCAGUAGAGGAAGCUGGCACAGAUUGAUUCAUGAACUGUCAAUACUGCUGGAAAUCAGAUCCCAGUGGUUGGAGAUUAGCCUCCAGCAGUGGCUGUGAUGUCGCGCAUGAUGCCAUAGGUGUGUUAAGUCACACUGUAGACAAGAAAACAACACGUGUGAUUAUUUACUUGGUAAAGUGACAUAUUUCAGUGUUUCUGUUUC